rnacentral:rRNA from 1 species
CCUACGGGAGGCAGCAGUGGGGGAUAUUGCACAAUGGGGGAAACCCUGAUGCAGCGACGCCGCGUGAGUGAAGAAGUAUUUCGGUAUGUAAAGCUCUAUCAGCAGGGAAGAAAAUUACAGUACCUGACCAAGAAGCCCCGGCUAACUACGUGCCAGCAGCCGCGGUAAUACGUAGGGGGCAAGCUUUAUCCGGAUUUACUGGGUGUAAAGGGAGCGUAGACGGUUAUGUAAGUCUGGGGUGAAAGCCCGGGGCCCAACCCCGGGACUGCUUUGGAAACUGUGUAGCUGGAGUACAGGAGGGGCAGGCGGAAUCCCGGGUGUAGCGGUGAAAGGGGUAGAUAUAAGGAGGAAACCCGGCGGCGAAGGGGGCCUGCGGGACUGAAACGGAGGUUGAGGCCGGAAAGCGUGGGGAGCAAACAGGAUAGAUACCCUUGUAGUC